UGGGGAAUAUUGCACAAUGGGCGCAAGCCUGAUGCAGCAACGCCGCGUGAGGGAUGACGGCCUUCGGGUUGUAAACCUCUUUUAGCAGGGAAGAAGCGAAAGUGACGGUACCUGCAGAAAAAGCACCGGCUAACUACGUGCCAGCAGCCGCGGUAAUACGUAGGGUGCAAGCGUUGUCCGGAAUUAUUGGGCGUAAAGAGCUCGUAGGCGGUCUGUCGCGUCUGCUGUGAAAUCCCCGAGGCUCAACCUCGGGCCUGCAGUGGGUACGGGCAGACUAGAGUGCGGUAGGGGAGAAUGGAACUCCUGGUGUAGCGGUGGAAUGCGCAGAUAUCAGGAAGAACACCGAUGGCGAAGGCAGUUCUCUGGGCCGUAACUGACGCUGAGGAGCGAAAGCGUGGGGAGCGAACAGGAUUAGAUACCCUGGUAGUCCACGCCGUAAACGUUGGGCGCUAGAUGUGGGGACCAUUCCACGGUUUCCGUGUCGCAGCUAACGCAUUAAGCGCCCCGCCUGGGGAGUACGGCCGCAAGGCUAAAACU
rnacentral:rRNA from 1 species